rnacentral:rRNA from 1 species
GACGAACGCUGGCGGCGUGCUUAACACAUGCAAGUCGAACGGAAAGGUCCUGCUUUUGUGGGCUGCUCGAGGGGCGAACGGGUGAGUAACACGUGAGUAACCUGCCCUUGACUGUGGGAUAACUUCAUGAAACUGGGUCUAAUACCGGAUAGGAGCUCCUGCUGCAUGGUGGGGGUUGGAAAGUUUCGGCGGUUGGGGAUGGACUCGCGGCUUAUCAGCUUGUUGGUGGGGUAGUGGCUUACCAAGGCUUGGGCGGGUAGCCGGCCUGAGAGGGUGACCGGCCACAUUGGGACUGAACUACGGCCCAGACUCCUCCGGGAGGCAGCAGUGGGGAAUAUUGCACAAUGGGCGGAAGCAUAAUGCAGCACCGCCGCGUGCGGGAUGUCGUCCUUCGCGUUGUAAUCCGCUUUCGCCUGUGCCGAAGCGUGAGUGACGGUAAUGGGUAAAGAAGCACCGGCUAACUACGUG